GUGAGCUCGAGUGGUUGCUAUGGUAGCUAGGAUUUCCUGUUUGAAGCAGAACUGAAGUCUGAAAUCAAAUAAACAAUCUAAUCUGUUCUUAUUUAAAUAAUUUAUAUGAUUUGCAUUCUUUUCAAGAGUGAAAGGAGAGGAUUAGGACCAAUGUAACGUCUGUGCUAUGUUGUGUGUCACUAUAGCUGGAAUACCACCAAGACACAGCAGGAACCAGACCCACCCCCCACAGGCCCAAAACUCCAGGAUUCACUGCAUGUCCAAUGUUUCCUUGCAGGCUCAUCUGACAUUUCAACAUCCCUCUCCUCCUCCCGUCUCCUGUCCUCGACCAGUCCUCUGGUUUCUCUCACCUGAAUCCGACCUCUGGAGAGUUUGUCCUCCUUCACAUCUUCUCGAGCGCAGACCAGAGCGCAG